GAUGAACGCUGGCGGCGUGCCUAAUACAUGCAAGUCGAGCGAACGGACGAGAAGCUUUCUUUUCUUAUGUUAGCGGCGGACGGGUGAGUAAUACGUGGAUAACCUACCUAUAAGACUGGGAUAACUUCGGGAAACCGGAUCUAAUACCGGAUAAUAUUUUGAACCGCGUGGUUCAUCAGUGAAAGACGGUCUUGCUGUCACUUAUAGAUGUAUCCGCGCUGCAUUAGCUAGUUGGUAAGGUAACGGCUUACCAAGGCAACGAUGCAUAGCCGACCUGAGAGGGUGAUCGGCCACACUGGAACUGAGACACGGUCCAGACUCCUACGGGAGGCAGCAGUAGGGAAUCUUCGGCAAUGGGCGAAAGCCUGACGGAGCAACGCCGCGUGAGUGAUGAAGGUCUUCGGAUCGUAAAACUCUGUUAGUAGGGAAGAACAUAUGUGUAAGUAACUGUGCAUAUCUUGACGGUACCUAAUCAGAAAGCAACGGCUAACUACGUG
rnacentral:rRNA from 1 species